AGUAACGGCGAGCGAAGAGGGAUGAGCUCGAGCAUGAAAUCCCCGGCGCCUGGCGCCGGAGAAUUGUGGCCGGGAGAGGCAGCGGUGCCCGGGCUGGCGCUGUCGAAGUUGACCUGGAAAGGCACGUCGGAGAGGGUGAGAGCCCCGUGUGCGACACCGGCGGGCCGGGCCGCAGCUGUCUUCGGAGAGUCGGGUUGUUUGGGAUUGCAGCCCAAAGUGGGUGGUAAACUCCAUCUAAAGCUAAAUACUGGCACGAGACCGAUAGCGAACAAGUACCGUGAGGGAAAGGUGAAAAGUACUUUGAAAAGAGAGUCAAAAAGACCGCGAAACCGUUAGGAGGGAAACGAAUGCGGCUGAAGUGGCUCCCCGUCAGGCUCAGGGGACGUCGUCGGGUCUCGCAGGUGGCGGUUGCUUCCGCGCCGGCGAGACGCCCGUCGACCGCUCUGCACUUCUGCGGGGAGCCGGCCAACGUCAGUUGCGCCCGGCCCAGAAGGGCGUCGGGGUAGGUGGCUCCGUGCUCUGCGCGGGGAACUUAUAGCCCGGCGUCAGUUCGGCGCUCCGGGGUGGCGACUGAGGAGAGUUGCGAGUUUCGCACGUGGCGGCGCAGGCCUCUCGAGGCUGGGCCCCUUCCCGUCGGAGUGGCGUCCGAGGCGUUCCACUGCGUGCAGUGGGGGUCUACGGCGCGCUCUCCGGAGGGGAGGACGGUCGCACCUUGCGUCGCAGUCGUUGGUGCCCGGAUGGCCGCAUCCGACCCGUCUUGA
rnacentral:rRNA from 1 species